UGUACACAAAGGUCAUCUAUGGCCUUUGGGGAGGAGGUUGAACUGUUGUUUUUGUGAUUUAACAUGAAAAUGAGCACUUCAGCGCUACACACCGAUGGAUUCCCCAUUGCAGGUAAGUGUCGUUUGGAACUCCUGCCGCGGGAAAAAAGUACCCGGCCUCGGAGGUAACGUAUUGGAGUCGCAGGUGAAACGCAGGUGAAACGAAGGUGAAACGUAUUUGACAGGGGUCGAGGUGAAGGAGGAGGUGGAAGAAGAAGCAGAGAAGGAACAGGAAGAAGAGGGUAAGAAAGAAAGAAAAAAAGA
rnacentral:lncRNA from 1 species